rnacentral:rRNA from 1 species
AGUCUCUGGUUGAUCCUGCCGGACCCGACUGCUAUCAGAGUGGGACUAAGCCAUGCGAGUCAACGUAGCAAUGCGUGGCGAACGGCUCAGUAACACGUAGUCAACAUGCCCAGGGGACGUGGAUAACCUCGGGAAACUGAGAUUAAACCGCGAUAGGUCAAGAUUUCUGGAAUGGAUCUUGGCUUAAAUCUACAUGGCCCCUGGAUUGGACUGCGGCCGAUCAGGCUGUUGGUGAGGUAAUGGCCCACCAAACCUAUAACCGGUACGGGCUCUGAGAGGAGGAGCCCGGAGAUGGGCACUGAGACAAGGGCCCAGGCCCUAUGGGGCGCAGCAGGCGCGAAACCUCUGCAAUAGGCGAAAGCCUGACAGGGUUACUCUGAGUGAUUCCCGCUAAGGGGAUCUUUUGGCACCUCUAAAAAUGGUGCAGAAUAAGGGGUGGGCAAGUCUGGUGUCAGCCGCCGCGGUAAUACCAGCACCCCGAGUGGUCGGGACGAUUAUUGGGCCUAAAGCAUCCGUAGCCGGUUCUGCAAGUCUUCCGUUAAAUCCAGCCGCUCAACGGAUGGGCUGCGGAAGAUACUAUAGGACUAGGAGGCGGGAGAGGCAAGCGGUACUCAGUGGGUAGGGGUAAAAUCCUUUGAUCCAUUGAAGACCACCAGUGGCGAAGGCGGCUUGCCAGAACGCGCUCGACGGUGAGGGAUGAAAGCUGGGGGAGCAAACCGGAUUAGAUACCCGGGUAGUCCCAGCUGUAAACGAUGCAGACUCGGUGAUGGGCCAGCCUUGUGCUAGCCCAGUGCCGCAGGGAAGCCGUUAAGUCUGCCGCCUGGGGAGUACGGUCGCAAGACUGAAACUUAAAGGAAUUGGCGGGGGAGCACCACAAGGGGUGAAGCCUGCGGGUCAAUUGGAUUCAACGCCGGGGACCUGCAGGCA